rnacentral:rRNA from 1 species
AUUGCACGCUGGCGGCAGGCCUAACACAUGCAAGUCGAGCGAGCGGCGGACGGGUGAGUAAUGUAUGGGGACUGCCCGAUAGAGGGGGAUAACUACUGGAAACGGUGGCUAAUACCGCAUACUAUCGGAUAACCCAUAUGGGAUUAGCUAGUAGGUGGGGUAAAGGCUAACCUAAGCGACGAUCACUAGCUGGUCUGAGAGGAUGAUCAGCCACACUGGGACUGAGACACGGCCCAGACUCCUACGGAGGCAGCAGUGGGGAAUAGUGCACAAUGGGCGCAAGCCUGAUGCAGCCAUGCGUGGGGUAUGAAGAAGGCCUUAGGGUUGUAAAGUACUUUCAGCGGGAAGGCGUUACCCGCAGAAGAAGAACCGGCUAACAACGUGCCAGCAGCCGCGGUAAUUC